AUGGCGGGGGACUCCAAGAAGGAGAAGUGUGUGGAGGGGAGCCCGGUGGACAAGCUCACCGACGACCUCCUCGUCGACAUCAUCUCGCGCGUGCCCUACAAGGCCACCUGCUGCUGCAAGUGCGUCUCCACGCGCUGGCGCGACCUCAUCUCCCACCCCGACCACCGCAAAAACAUGCCCCAGUCUCUCGCCGGAUUCUUCUAUCAAGUCAAGGGGGCUCGCUAUUUCACCAACGUCUCAGGGGAAGGUGACCCUUUCUUCGACCCGUCCCUCUCGUUCCUGCCCAAUUACCAGAGCCUUUACAUUCUGGACUGCUGCAAUGGUCUCCUCCUCUGCCGCUGCUGGAAGGCGACUGAUCCUGAGACACUGGAUUACAUCGUGUGCAACCCUGCCACCGAGAAAUGGGUGGUCGUGCCUGCUAGUGACUGGUCCAGCGAGGUGGUGGUCGCUCGCUUAGGGUUCGACUCUUCCGUCUCCUCCCACUUUCAUGUGUUCGAAUUCAUAAUUGACGAGGCCUCGGGUGUAUACGAGGAUGAGAGCAGAUAUUUUAAAAACAUCAAAGCAUUGGCGAUCUACUCCUCCAAAGCUGGACUAUGGAUGAGGCGAUUGUAUUUCGCACAUAGUACUGCUGGUAUUGGUGGUUCUGAUCUAAAAGUCUGGGUUCUUGAGGACCAUGGUAGAGCAGACUGGACCUUGAAGCACAAUGUCAGCAACUUGAAACUGUUUGGAACAGAGUAUUCGUCGUUUCAAAAGCAUUACAAUGUCGUCUCAUUCCACCCAGAACGCAAUAUGCUUUUCAUAGUCUGUGGGGAAGAGAACACAUUAAUGUCAUCAGUGACUUGGGUUUGA
rnacentral:rRNA from 1 species